GACAUGCGAUACUUGGUGUGAAUUGCAGAAUCCCGCGAACCAUUGAGUCUUUGAACGCAAGUUGCGCCCGAGGCCUUCCGGUCGAGGGCACGCCUGCCUGGGCGUCACGCUAUCGUCGCUCCUUGUGCCCCCAAGCUCGAAGCACGAGCGAUGGAGCCGGAUGCGGACACUGGCCCUCCGUGCGCUCCCGCGCGGUCGGCCGAAGAGGUUGCCGUCGCCGAUGGUCGGACACGACGGAUGGUGGCGCCGUUAGCAAGCCGAAAGUCGUGCCUCGGCCUCGGAGGCGAUCUCCGAAAGGAACCCCCCAUCGCUCUGUAAACGAAAGGGCUCGGAUUGCGACCCCAGGUCAGGCGGGGCCACCCGCCGAGUUUAAGCAUAUAAAUAAGCGGAGGAGAAGAAACUUACAAGGAUUCCCAUAGUAACGGCGAGCGAACCGGGAU
rnacentral:rRNA from 1 species